rnacentral:sRNA from 1 species
AAUACUAUUUUUCUACAUUUUCAAUUGCUAUGUAAAUUCUGCCCCAUAGUGGUGGCUGGCAGAGAUGUGUUCAUGUCUAAUGUCGAAAUGGUUAGUUUCACUUUUUGCGUCAGAAAUCGUAAAAUUGGAUAUAAAAUUUUACGAGCGUGUGGCUGGGCCUCGUCUCAGAUCUUGGGGCUCGUCCCUCUUGGACUCUUGAGUGUUCGGUUAGCUCUCUCGUCCUGCGUGGGCAUUCAGCCUGGACCUACACACCAACACACACACGUACAGGCUCGUCAGAGAAUUUGUCCUGGCAAUGGUCGCCUGUUUUUGGUCACGGCACAAAUUUUGACGCUUGACUAGCAAUGGCAGCUAAAAAUGGAGCCAAAAUUGUAGCUGAAGCUGUAGCAGUAUCUUUAGCCUGUAGAUGUAUCUGUAUCUGUGGCUGAUGCUGAAGUGGCAGCCGAAGACGAAAAGCGACGACAGCGGCACUUUGUUUGUGGUAAUAAAUCAUUUAUGCAAGUUGCUGUGGCCGUUUGCGUUGAAACACAAA